rnacentral:lncRNA from 1 species
CGCAUUUGUAGCGGAGAACCGUAAGGCCUAGUGGAAACACCCCGCACACUAACAGGGUGUUUACACGUGGAAGUCUGUUAGCGACCUUUUUAAAAAUUCUCACCCUGGACGUCAGGUUUGCACGUUCUGUUUCGCAAUAUCACAUAUUCUAUAUAAAUAAAUGAUAGAAAUGCAAAAGGUUUGACGGAAGGCGGAGGGACGGCGACGAACGGGGGGCCCAUGUGGAGACAAGGCCCUUGUUAAACGUCCAAUAAGUCCGCAAAAGCUAAAGCUGCCCCGAACCAGCUUUAAGCAUUGUUAACUUUGAGCGCGGAAAAUGU